rnacentral:rRNA from 1 species
CGGGGGGCUGCAAUCGGGAAUUUUGCGCAAUGGGCGAAAGCCUGACGCAGCGACGCCGCGUGAAGGAUGAAUGCCUUCGGGUUGUAAACUUCUUAUUAGCACCGGCUAACUACGUGCCAGCAGCAGCGGUCAUACGUAGGGUGCAAGCAUUACCCGGUCUUAUUGGGCGUAAAGAGUUCUGUAGGCGGUUGAAUAAGUUGGAAGUUAAAUAUCCCGGCUCAACCGGGAGGAGGCUUUCAAUACUGUUUAACUUAGAGGUAACAAGGGGAUAGCGGAACACAUGGUGUAGCAGUGAAAUGCGUUGAUAUCAUGUGGAACACCAAGGGGGAAGCCAGCUAUCUGGGGUUAUUCUGACGCUGAGAGACGAAAGCGUGGGGAGUAAAACGGAUUAGAUACCCCGGUAGUC